rnacentral:rRNA from 1 species
AGUGAACGCUGGCGGCAGGCCUAACACAUGCAAGUCGAGCGGAUGAAGGGAGCUUGCUCCUGGAUUCAGCGGCGGACGGGUGAGUAAUGCCUAGGAAUCUGCCUGGUAGUGGGGUAUAACGUCCGGAAACGGGCGCUAAUACCGCAUACGUCCUGAGGGAGAAAGUGGGGGAUCUUCGGACCUCACGCUAUCAGAUGAGCCUAGGUCGGAUUAGCUAGUUGGUGGGGUAAAGGCCUACCAAGGCGACGAUCCGUAACUGGUCUGAGAGGAUGAUCAGUCACACUGGAACUGAGACACGGUCCAGACUCCUACGGGAGGCAGCAGUGGGGAAUAUUGGACAAUGGGCGAAAGCCUGAUCCAGCCAUGCCGCGUGUGUGAAGAAGGUCUUCGGAUUGUAAAGCACUUUAAGUUGGGAGGAAGGGCAGUAAGUUAAUACCUUGCUGUUUUGACGUUACCAAAAGAAUAAGCACCGGCUAACUUCGUG